rnacentral:rRNA from 1 species
GACGAACGCUGGCGGCGUGCUUAACACAUGCAAGUCGAACGGAAAGGCCCUGCUUUUGUGGGGUGCUCGAGUGGCGAACGGGUGAGUAACACGUGAGUAACCUGCCCUUGACUUUGGGAUAACUUCAGGAAACUGGGGCUAAUACCGGAUAGGAGCUCCUGCUGCAUGGUGGGGGUUGGAAAGUUUCGGCGGUUGGGGAUGGACUCGCGGCUUAUCAGCUUGUUGGUGGGGUAGUGGCUUACCAAGGCUUUGACGGGUAGCCGGCCUGAGAGGGUGACCGGCCACAUUGGGACUGGGAUACGGCCCAGACCCCUAGGGGGGGCAGCGGUGGGGAAUAUUGCACAAUGGGCGGAAGCUUGAUGCAGAAACGCCGGGUGGGGGAUGACGGCCUUCGGGUUGUAAACCGCUUUCGCCUGUGACGAAGCGUGGGUGACGGUAAUGGGUAAAGAAGCACCGGCUAAAUACGU